CUGCAGCCCGACCUGAGUGGAGCUCUUUUUCUGCCAUGGCGAUGGUAGAAAAGUUCUACGGAUCGCUUCACUUCGUUCGCCAUGACAGAAAAAAGCGGGAACGGAGGGCGGAUAAAGC
rnacentral:misc_RNA from 1 species